rnacentral:rRNA from 1 species
CUGACGCUCAGGCACGAAAGCGUGGGGAUCAAACAGGAUUAGAUACCCUGGUAGUCCACGCAGUAAACGAUGAUGACUUGUUGUCGGCGAUAGAAUGUCGGUGACAAAGCGAAAGCGAUAAGUCAUCCACCUGGGGAGUACGAUCGCAAGGUUGAAACUCAAAGGAAUUGACGGGGGCCCGCACAAGCGGAGGAGCAUGUGGUUUAAUUCGAUGAUACGCGAGGAACCUUACCUGGACUCAAAUGUUGGACGACCAGUGCAGAAAUGCGCCUUUCCUUCGGGACAUCCAGCAAGGUGCUGCAUGGUUGUCGUCAGCUCGUGCCGUGAGGUGUCAGGUUAAGUCCUAUAACGAGCGCAACCCCUACGUCCAGUUGCCAGCGGGUAAAGCCGGGGACUCUGGAGGGACUGCCGGCGCAAGCCGAGAGGAAGGUGGGGAUGACGUCAAAUCAGCACGGCCCUUACGUCCGGGGCUACACACGUGUUACAAUGGCGCGUACAGAGGGCCGGCACUGGGCAAUCAGUGUCCAAUCCUUAAAACGCGUCUCAGUUCGGACUGGGGUCUGCAACCCGACCCCACGGAGCUGGAUCGCUAGUAAUCGC